CAUUUGGAUGGGAAUUACGGUCAUUAGGAUCAGAGCAUAUGCGAUGGUACCUAGUGGCUUGGCUGUAGAUGAUGCCCUGUUUAGUAUGGGAGGGGUUUAAGCUGGAGCUGUGAAGGUAACUGCACCUGUCUGUGGGUUUUAGUAAACCGAGGUGUAGAUUGUGUUCAUGUUACAUGUCACAGUGGUGUCCAGAAAAUUCACAGAUCUAGUGGAAUAUUCCAUUUUUAGUUUGUUUGAUAGAUGGAAUGUAUUAAAGUCAUGGAACUGUAUCAGUUUUUCUUUGCUUUUAGUCCAAAUUAUGAAGAUAUCGAUAUAGCCAUAAUAUUUGUAUGCU